rnacentral:rRNA from 1 species
GAUUAACGCUGGCGGCGUGCCUAACACAUGCAAGUCGAGCGGCAGCGAGUUUUACACUGACUUCUGGAAGCUUCUAGUUGAAAGAGAAGAUUUAUUCAAGAAUUUUGUGUAAAAUGUCGGCGAGCGGCGGACGGCUGAGUAACGCGUGGGAACGUACCCCAAAGUGAGGGAUAACGCAUCGAAAGGUGUGCUAAUACCGCAUAUGGUCUUCGGAUUAAAGCCUUCGGGCGCUUUGGGAACGGCCUGCGUAAGAUUAGAUAGUUGGUGGGGUAAUGGCCUACCAAGUCGACGAUCUUUAACUGGUUAGAGAGGAUGAGCAGUCAGACUGGAACUGAGACACGGUCCAGACUCCUACGGGAGGCAGCAGUGAGGAAUCUUCCACAAGGGGCGAGAGCCUGAUGGAGCAACGCCGCGUGCAGGAUGAAGGCCUUCGGGUUGUAAACUGCUUUUAUAAGUGAGGAUUAUGACAGUAACUUAUGAAUAAGGAUCGGCUAACUACGUG